GACGAACGCUGGCGGCGUGCCUAAUACAUGCAAGUAGAACGAGUUGCGAACGGGUGAGUAAUGUCUGGGAAACUGCCCGAUGGAGGGGGAUAACUACUGGAAACGGUAGCUAAUACCGCAUACCAUCGGAUGUGCCCAGAGGGGAUGAGCUAGUAGGUGGGGUAACGGCUCACCUAGGCGACGAUCCCUAGCUGGUCUGAGAGGAUGACCAACCACAGUGGAACUGAGACACGGUCCAGACACCUACGGGAGGCAGCAGUGGGGAAUAUUGCACAAUGGGCGCAAGCCUGAUGCAGCCAUGCCGCGUGUAUGAAGAAGGCCUUCGGGGUGUAAAGUACUUUCAGCGAGGAGGCGUUACUCGCAGAAGAAGCACCGGCUAAAUCCGUGCCAGCAGCCGCGGUAAUUC
rnacentral:rRNA from 1 species